rnacentral:rRNA from 1 species
CAGCAGCCACGGGAAUACGGAGGAUCCAAGCGUUAUCCGGAAUCAUUGGGUUUAAAGGGUCCGUAGGCGGUCUUGUAAGUCAGUGGUGAAAGCCCAUCGCUCAACGGUGGAACGGCCAUUGAUACUGCAGGACUUGAAUUAUUGGGAAGUAACUAGAAUAUGUAGUGUAGCGGUGAAAUGCUUAGAGAUUACAUGGAAUACCAAUUGCGAAGGCAGGUUACUACCAAUUGAUUGACGCUGAUGGACGAAAGCGUGGGUAGCGAACAGGAUUAGAUACCCGGGUAGUCCCUGUCUCUUAUAC